UAGGCCAUCGUCCUAGUGGACCGGCCCUUCCCCUUUCUUCAUACGGCUCUUCCUGUUUAUGGCUCAAGUCCGGGCUGAAGAAAGCCACACAUGUUUUAAAAGAGCAUUCCAUGAUCACCUCUUCAAGUAGCAUUCAUCCUAGACACAUUGGCAUGGAGGGAGUUUCUGUUGCCACCACAGGCUACUGUUUACCUGUCCAUUACGUACACCUUCAGCAAAGGAGGCAGCUGCGACCAGGCCCGACCUUCAUCUUUGAAGGGAGGACCAAAGCCUAGAGAAGAAGAGCUGUGACCCAGGGCGGUGACAGCAGGAGAAUGGGAGGGGUUACUGGCUGACACUUCCUGUAGACCGCCCGCGGAAACUCUGCUACAUUUGCCAUUAAAUUAAAUAUAUAUGUAUAA